UUUAUAAACAUGAAGCAUAAGUUUUAAAAUAAGUAGUUCAAAAAAAGAGCAUGCGAAACAUUGUUUAUGAAGAAAUUACGAUUUGAAUUCACCUUGACCCAAUAUAGAUAUGAUUAUAAAACCUAAUUUUCAUAAUACUGCUAUUAGAAGAUGAGUUAGUCAAUUAAACAAUUUAAAAAAUUAUAUUUGGAGUUUCAUGACCCUUCUAUCCUACACGAGUGACGUAAUUGAAUGACUCAUCCACGGCUCUUCCAUCGGACAGUGCCAGCAAGUUGAGGUUCUAGGGGAGUGUUUAGCCCUGAACGUAGAUCUUUGUACCUUCACAAGUUGCCAAUACCCUGAUUCCGUGUUAUCCGGACCGCCAUAUUGAUUUUGAAGAUAUGAUAUUUUUAGUGUAUGAAAAAUGAUAUUCAAGUCCAAGAGAAAGAUACCUCAUUGAGAUGAAGGACAAUGCAGUGUUUAUUAUGUGACUAACUGUUGGUGUCUAUUGAACAGGAAUUUUCCUGUUUCUUUUUUAAGUAUAUAAAAGGUAUAUAUUUUCUGAACCA